CAGCCGCCGCGGUAAUACGUAGGGUGCUAGCGUUAAUCGGAUUUACUGGGCGUAAAGCGUGCGCAGGCGGCCCGUUAAGACAGGUGUGAAAUCCCUGGGCUCAACCUAGGAAUUGCGCUUGUGACUGGCGGGCUCGAGUACGGUAGAGGGGGGUGGAAUUCCUGGUGUAGCAGUGAAAUGCGUAGAGAUCAGGAGGAACACCGAUGGCGAAGGCAGCCCCCUGGGCCUGUACUGACGCUCAUGCACGAAAGCGUGGGGAGCAAACAGGAUUAGAUACCCGGGUAGUCCACGCCCUAAACGAUGGGUACUAGCCGUUUGGUGCGCGAGAGCGCUGAGUGGCGAAGCUAACGCGUGAAGUACCCCGCCUGGGGAGUACGGCCGCAAGGUUGAAACUUAAAGGAAUUGGCGGG
rnacentral:rRNA from 1 species